ensembl:lncRNA
CUUUUACGUCGGGACUCAAGGGUUUGUUAGGUUGUGCUAGGAGCGAUGGCUCUCGGUGUAACGGAGCUCUUAAGUGAAGAUGCUGAGAGGAAAAGGAAGAGUGCAAAACAUAGGGGAGAAUGUUUGCUGGAAAACGACAUGGUUAAAACCUAAUGAUCUUAGCAGUGAGGGGUCGCUGUCUGCCUAUUGAAAGAGGCCAGAUUGCUGUGAAGUUCCUGAGAUAUUUCUGGCUAAUGCCACAAGAUUUACCGGUAUGUCGUGUGAAAAACUAAGGAAAAGCUCUUCAUUUUAUGGAUAUGGAAAGAAAAAUCAAGAUGGAUUAUAUUUUUUUUAAUUAUCCAGUCUUUAAUUAGUUAAGUAAAACUAGUUAAACUUUUUAAAAUCAAUUUUGAAUGAAUACCCUUUGGUUACAAGCUGUUUGAAUGUAAAAUGCGUCAUGGUGAUUAUAGCCAAAUGAAGGUUUUUACUAUUAUAGAAAGUUAUUAAGAUGAGAGCAGAGUGGACAGAACAUAUUCCUGGGAUUGGGCUGGAAAGAAAGCCCACCAUCAAUAAUCUUUACUGGCUGAAUUAUGGAAUAUUUAGUCUUAGUGUAACAGUAUUGUGUAUUUAUUUAUGGUAUUAAGGUGUUUAUUCUGAAAACGAAGAAAGCACAAUAUAGCAAGUCAUGAGGAAGGUCACUGAUGAAAUGUAGUUUAAAAUUGUACAGACAUCCUGAAUGAAUUUAAGUGUUAAGUAAUUAAUACCAUCUGAUGUAACCAAGGUGGUUGGGCCCCAUGCAUAAUCAUUUUCCCUAAAUAGCUACAUGAAUAAAUUUUUCCCAAUCCAAGUAAGAAUGCCAAUAUUUAUAGUCAUCAUUAAUAAACCUAAAAUUUCCUUAGUGAAAAUUUGGAUCCCACGCAUGCAGCUCAGGGAGAGGUUUAUGAAACUGAUAAGGCUGUAGUUGAAUACUUUCCCAAGUAUCAAAACAGUAUACAAAAUAGCAUCUCUGGGAAUGUUUCCUUGGCAGCCAUAAACUACCCAUGUGUUGCAUUUAUUACAUGUAUUUAACAUUGCAGUCUACGCUCUUAUGACUGAUCUCCCUUACCCUGCUUUAUUUGGAAUAUAUAUUCUAGAAGACCUGUUUCAAACACAGACAUCCUAAGUACAUAGAAACCUUAAAUAUCUGGCUCUUGGUUAGAACAAAGAAUGGAUGGUAAUUUUACCCAAAAAAUAUAGUGAUCAAAGAUAAAUUGGUACCCACACAAAACUUUAAGGGGAAAAAAAUACAUUUCUCUAAAACCUCAGUUAAUGUACAUUACUGCACCGUGCAUUGUGUACAACAGUUGUACACAAUGCCAAGAGAAAAGGCAAAGUACAGGAAACAAGAACAGUGCAGAAUAAGGAUGUUAAAGUGAUACAUUUGGGCAUAUGAAACACUAACCAAAGAUAUGCUUCAGAAUUGGAUCCCCAAAGGUACAAUUCCAAUGGAACUUGAAAGCUCAACAUAGAAGUUUCCAUUAAGAUUACUAAUUGAUUCAAACCUAUUACUAAACAAGGUGUACUAAUGUCAUGAUGGUGUCUUUCACACAGCACAGAUAUACUUAAUUGGUAAUAUAUAAAAAAUAAGACAACUAAAUAAGACCAGGGACCUUAAGCUGUUACCUGUGUAAGGGAUUUAAACUUCCAGAACCAAUCUGCAACUUAAUGGACUUAGUGGAGAUCCUAAAAUGUACGGAUCUGCUGUUUGGACUGGUUUUGUGAUAAACAUAUAGAACACAGUCUACAUUUGUGUGAUGUUACUGACUAGCCAGUAAGAAUUUUCUCUCUGCUUUACACCAUUCUUUCUGAUUGCAUUAAACAGUAGGCUCAAUCCU